GCCGGUAUAGCACAGUGGUAGUGCGUUCCCUUCGUAAGGGAAAGGUCCAGUCACCAGCCGAGUUCAGGUCCACCUGGGUAUCGUCGGCAAACUUGCUGGCG
rnacentral:tRNA from 1 species